CAGGACUCGCAAGACUCCUACAACCCUGUGAACUUACUAUAAGCACGUUGCUUCGGCGGGUGUCGCGCGAGGGAUUCGUCCUCCCGAGGCGCGUAAGCCCGCCGGCAGCCUACUAUACUCUGUCUCUUUGCGUUGGCAUCUCGAGUACAAUCAAACAAGUUA
rnacentral:misc_RNA from 1 species